GAUGAACGCUGGCGGCGUGCCUAAUACAUGCAAGUCGAGCGAACAGACGAGGAGCUUGCUCCUCUGACGUUAGUGGCGGACGGGUGAGUAACACGUGGAUAACCUACCUAUAAGACUGGGAUAACUUCGGGAAACCGGAGCUAAUACCGGAUAAUAUAUUGAACCGCAUGGUUCAAUAGUGAAAGACGGUUUUGCUGUCACUUAUAGAUGGAUCCGCGCCGCAUUAGCUAGUUGGUAAGGUAACGGCUUACCAAGGCGACGAUGCGUAGCCGACCUGAGAGGGUGAUCGGCCACACUGGAACUGAGACACGGUCCAGACUCCUACGGGAGGCAGCAGUAGGGAAUCUUCCGCAAUGGGCGAAAGCUUGACGGAGCAACGCCGCGUGAGUGAUGAAGGUCUUCGGAUCGUAAAACUCUGUUAUUAGGGAAGAACAAAUGUGUAAGUAACUAUGCACGUCUUGACGGUACCUAAUCAGAAAGCCACGGCUAACUACGUG
rnacentral:rRNA from 1 species